UUCUGUGGACCCUUCCUCCUAAAGACUCCUCCUGCAGACUCUACUCCUUUCAAGGGGUCAAAGAGGUCACUUUUGACAGGCUCUCUGGCCACAGGCUGCACAGAUCUGCCAGCCAGCCUGGAUUGAGCUUGUUUGGGGCCAGAUGCUGAGCCAGACCACAGAGCCCACAGGCCAGUGUUCACCAGGAGUGGCCCUUAAUGGAGACCUCAACCUGGAGUGGUCCUGAUAGAGACCUCAACCUGGAGUGGUCCUUGAUGGAGCCCUCAACCUGGAGUGGUCCUGAUGGAGACCUCAACCUGGAGUGGUCCUGAUGGAGACCUCAACCUGGAGUGGUCCUUGAUGGAGCCCUCAACCUGGAGUGGUCCUGAUGGAGACCUCAACCUGGAGUGGUCCUGAUGGAGACCUCAACCUGGAGUGGUCCUGAUGGAGACCUGCUCCUUCCAAGGAGGCUUCCCUGCUGAUCCCCACUUCCAUUGUCACCCCACCCUCCACGCCUAGCUUGCUCACUGCAACAGGCUCCUGAAGCCUCAGAGUCCCCCUACACAGAAGAUGGCUCAGCCAGAAUAGGCAAGUGGCCA
ensembl:lincRNA Gm13802 predicted gene 13802